rnacentral:rRNA from 1 species
UUUGUUACUUCAAACCAAUCGGACUUCGGUCUGACAUCAAGUGAUAUUGAACAAUUUAGCUGAUCGCACGGUCUAAGAACCGGCGACAUAUCCUUCAAAUGUCUGCCUUAUCAACUUUCGAUGGUAGAUUAUGCGCCUACCAUGGUUGUAACGGGUAACGGAGAAUCAGGGUUUGAUUCCGGAGAGGGAGCCUGAGAAACGGCUACCACAUCCAAGGAAGGCAGCAGGCACGCAAAUUACCCACUCCCGGCACGGGGAGGUAGUGACGAAAAAUAACAAGCUGGUCUCAAUGAGUUCCAGCAUUGUAAUGGGAACAAUUUAAAUCUUUUAUCGAGGAUCUAUUGGAGGGCAAGUCUGGUGCCAGCAGCCGCGGUAAUUCCAGCUUCAAUAGCGUAUAUUAAAGUUGUUGCGGUUAAAAAGCUCGUAGUUGGAUCUAGGAUUAGGGCUACGGUCGUUCAGCUUGGACGUACUGUAUGCCCGACUCCUUUUCUCUAGUAUUCGAUUGUUGCUCUUAAAUGAGUGACUUUAGUUGCUGGAACUUUUACCUUGAAAAAAUUGAAGUGCUCAAGGCAGGUU